GACACAUGUCAUUUAUUUGAAAGGGGCAAUUGCUCCACUACAAGAUGGACCUGCGUUGUAUUAGCUAGUAGGUGAGGUAACGGCUCACCUAGGCGACGAUACAUAGCCGACCUGAGAGGGUGAUCGGCCACACUGGGACUGAGACACGGCCCAGACUCCUACGGGAGGCAGCAGUAGGGAAUCUUCGGCAAUGGGGGCAACCCUGACCGAGCAACGCCGCGUGAGUGAAGAAGGUUUUCGGAUCGUAAAGCUCUGUUGUAAGUCAAGAACGAGUGUGAGAGUGGAAAGUUCACACUGUGACGGUAGCUUACCAGAAAGGGACGGCUAACUACGUGCCAGCAGCCGCGGUAAUACGUAGGUCCCGAGCGUUGUCCGGAUUUAUUGGGCGUAAAGCGAGCGCAGGCGGUUUGAUAAGUCUGAAGUUAAAGGCUGUGGCUCAACCAUAGUUCGCUUUGGAAACUGUCAAACUUGAGUGCAGAAGGGGAGAGUGGAAUUCCAUGUGUAGCGGUGAAAUGCGUAGAUAUAUGGAGGAACACCGGUGGCGAAAGCGGCUCUCUGGUCUGUAACUGACGCUGAGGCUCGAAAGCGUGGGGAGCGAACAGGAUUAGAUACCCUGGUAGUCCACGCCGUAAACGAUGAGUGCUAGGUGUUGGAUCCUUUCCGGGAUUCAGUGCCGCAGCUAACGCAUUAAGCACUCCGCCUGGGGAGUACGACCGCAAGGUUGAAACUCAAAGGAAUUGACGGGGG
rnacentral:rRNA from 1 species